CCUCGGCCAAGCCCUGGUGGCCAGAUGCCCAGUGCCUGUCUUGGAGUCGGAGCUGUACUUCCUCAUCAGCUGGUACCUGUUGACCAGCCUGUGUCAGAGAGUGGCCUAGGUACCAGUGCUGGAGCUGAAGCAGCACCAGUUGCUGCUGAAGAGGUUGGACUAGGAGGGCAACGAACACAACAGUCUAAAAAUUUGAGACAUAAUUAUUAGACUGAAUGCAAAGAAUUGGUCUUGUCCAUUAAGCAUGUGGCUCCUGAUCACCUGCUGUGGGUCUGCCAGUGCUUCAAUCUUAUUUUGGUUAAAGAAAUUCCACUCGGUAUUUCAAGAGUCACUUCUUUCCUUGGUGCAGGAAGGCAGUCUUUGUUACAUACAGCAGAACAUAGGUUAAUG
rnacentral:lncRNA from 1 species